UGGGGAAUUUUGGAUAAUGGGGGAAACCCUGAUCCAGCCAUCCCGCGUGUGCGAUGAAGGCCUUCGGGUUGUAAAGCACUUUUGGCAGGAAAGAAACGUCAUGGGUUAAUACCCCGUGAAACUGACGGUACCUGCAGAAUAAGCACCGGCUAACUACGUGCCAGCAGCCGCGGUAAUACGUAGGGUGCAAGCGUUAAUCGGAAUUACUGGGCGUAAAGCGUGCGCAGGCGGUUAGGAAAGAAAGAUGUGAAAUCCCAGAGCUCAACUUUGGAACUGCAUUUUUAACUACCGGGCUAGAGUGUGUCAGAGGGAGGUGGAAUUCCGCGUGUAGCAGUGAAAUGCGUAGAUAUGCGGAGGAACACCGAUGGCGAAGGCAGCCUCCUGGGAUAACACUGACGCUCAUGCACGAAAGCGUGGGGAGCAAACAGG
rnacentral:rRNA from 1 species